rnacentral:misc_RNA from 1 species
UUCCUUGUACACACCGCCCGUCACACCAUGAGAGUUUGUAACACCCGAAGCCGGUGGCGUAACCCUUUUAGGGAGCGAGCCGUCUAAGGUGGGACAAAUGAUUAGGGUGAAGUCGUAACAAGGUAGCCGUAGGAGAACCUGCGGCUGGAUCACCUCCUCUCUAAGGAAACAGCCUGAAAUUGGACGAAAACUCGCCCCCCC